AAACAUUCAUAUAGCAUAUUUCUUAACUGGGUGACUCAAUCAUAAGAUAUGACAACAAUUGAAUGUUGAGUCACUUUACUCAAGAGAUUGCCUAAAUAUAAGCAAACACAUGUCACUUGAACUUAAGAGAUAGUUUCAUUAACCAAGAAGGUUCAAGGACAAGCGUGUGAAGCAAUAGAAAGAUUUAUCAAGGUCAAAUCAAUUUUUUAUUUUCAGAAUCAAUUUAGCUUAGAUUCUAUUUGCUUAAGAUAAUUAUCAAUAAGACAUGUUAGCUAAGUUUUAAUCAAUUUAUCUUAAACAGUUGUUUCUAUCAACAUUCAUAUUAUGAAUCAUUAGAGUUAGAUUGAAGUCUUGCACAAGGGCACAUAAUGAGCAUACAAUCUGGUCUACUAGUUGUAUAAUAAAAUAAUUAUUCUAUCAUGCUUCAAUACAGCUUUAAAAUAAUAGAUCUACUUUGCUCAUCCUUUUCAAAUUCUACAAGAUGGGGUCAUAGACAUACCUUCUUCAUACCAAUCUUCUAUAAGAGUUUUCUUGUGAACUAACUUUGGUCAAUGAAGAUUCCCUUUCUUGUUUGUC
rnacentral:lncRNA from 1 species